UACAGAGGGGGCGAGCGUUGUCCGGAAUCACUGGGCGUAAAGGGCGCGUAGGCGGCUUUAUAAGUCGGGGGUGAAAGCCUGUGGCUCAACCACAGAAUUGCCUUCGAUACUGUAGAGCUUGAGACCGGAAGAGGUAAGUGGAACUGCGAGUGUAGAGGUGAAAUUCGUAGAUAUUCGCAAGAACACCAGUGGCGAAGGCGGCUUACUGGUCCGGUUCUGACGCUGAGGCGCGAAAGCGUGGGGAGCAAACAGG
rnacentral:rRNA from 1 species